GGUGACUUCAGCAAAAAACAUGUAUUUCUUACAGUUCUGGAGGCUGGAAGUCUGACAUUAGGAUGCCAGUGUGAUCAGAUUCUGCUUGGCUUGAAGGAGUACUUUAGGACUCAGAACAACAGGAUGAAGACAGCAGCUAAAAUAGAACACACCAGCAGAGACGUUCAGCUCCUUGAGCUGUGCUUCCGAAGCUCAAGCAUGGCAGAGUGGCCUUGUUAAAUCAGAGUUCAGGGUGCCACCCUGACAGUUUCUGAUUCCGUAGGUGCCCAGUAGGGACCAAGAAUCCUUUUUUUUUUUCCUUUUUCUUUUUAAUAGAGUCAGGGUCUUGCUAUGUUGCCCACAUGGGUCUCAAAUUCAAGCGAUCCUCCCACCUCGACCUCCCAAAGCACUGGAAUUCCAGGCAUAAGCCACCGUGCCUGGCCAAGAACGUUUUUUUUUUUAACAAGUUUCUAAAUGAUGCUGGUCUAUUGGUCCUGGGACCACACUUUGAAAUUGGUGGGAUAGGAGGCUGGGAUCUUUAUCCAUUCACUCAACUCCCAUUCCCCAUGGUUGAAAGUUUCCCUGGGGCAUCCCUGGGAGGCCUGGGGGCUGACAAGAUUCAAACGUUUUGGUGAAAAGCCCCAAGACAGUGAAGUGGGGUGUGCUUGAAGUGGGGCACCGUCAUCACCCACCUACCCACCACAGAGGUGAGCUAAAAGGUUACCAGACCGGAGCCUCCAGCAAUCCAGGAGCACAAACAAGGAUGCCUUAAAACAAAACUUGUGUCAGGGUACCCUUCGCUGCCUCAGAGGAAAUCAGAAUGACCUGGUGGACAACUGUUCAUAAGGACAAGAGCCAGUAUCACUGCCUUUGAGUCCCAGCCUCCUCAAAUCCAUUUUCUGCCCUGCACCACCUCAUCAUAUCCCGGAUAUUGUUAGUGUCGUGUCAUUUCAUGACUCAGGAGCUGCGGGUGACUUUGGUAAGAGCGGAGCGGUCGCUGUCUCAUCUGUCACCUCCUCCCUUCACCUCUGUGCAGCCAACGUCCAGGGAGCCUGCCUCUUGCUGUCCUUUUCAAAGCUUUCUGGGUCUCUCCUCUGUGCCUCUGAUCCAGUCUUUCAUGCUGCCCAGAACACUGUCUCUUUCUCCCAUGCCAGUGACAUCCAUUACUUUCUUCAAGGUCUGGCUCAAAACCCAGCACUCAGCCAGGCACGGUGGCUCACACCUGUAAUCCCACCACUUUGGGAGGCCAAAGCAGGCAGAUCACGAGG
rnacentral:lncRNA from 10 species